rnacentral:rRNA from 1 species
CAGCCGCCGCGGUAAUACGUAGGUGGCAAGCGUUGUCCGGAAUUAUUGGGCGUAAAGGGCUCGCAGGCGGUUUCUUAAGUCUGAUGUGAAAGCCCCCGGCUCAACCGGGGAGGGUCAUUGGAAACUGGGAAACUUGAGUGCAGAAGAGGAGAGUGGAAUUCCACGUGUAGCGGUGAAAUGCGUAGAGAUGUGGAGGAACACCAGUGGCGAAGGCGACUCUCUGGUCUGUAGCUGACGCUGAGGAGCGAAAGCGUGGGGAGCGAACAGGAUUAGAGACCCGUGUAGUCCCUGUCUCUUAUAC